rnacentral:sRNA from 1 species
CUUCGUUCAGGGCUCAGUUCAGCACCCCCUGAACUGUCUGAGGAGCUGGAGUUGCUCCCUCCGCAGGCGCGUUUCUGUCUGCAGGUUUAUCCUGUUCAGUAGGUCAGGGUUUGUUAUUGACAACAAUGACCUGCCGUGAGCCCUUCUGCGAGUGUGGAGCUGGGGAGCAGGAAGGGCAGCCUUAGCUGUGCUGACGCUUUGCCCUGUCAGGGCAUUUGCACGUCAAAGGCAAAGAAGAAAAAAUGUCCAAAUCAUUAAAAAACUACAUUACUAUUAAGCCAUCGACUACAGCGACAGCGCCAUGCUCCAAGCUCAGCAGCUGCUCCUGGGACUGGGCUCUUUCCUGGAGGACGCACGUGCCUAUAUGAAGGGGCAGCUGGCCUGCGGCUCCGUCAGGGAAGCGAUGCUGUGGGAGAGGUAAGAGGCCCGCCUGGCACCCGGCGUGGCGCCCCUCCUGCGGCCUGCUGGGUGCUGCUGGUGGGCUCCUGAAGGUGAAGAGGGGCCCCCAGGAGACAGGGCACUGGACAGGAGGUUUGGGGUCAGGGACUUCCCAGAGAGGCCCCAGGAGACAGGGUGCUGGGCAGGAGGUGCAGGUGUGGGGUCAGGGGCUCCCCAGAGGCCACAGGAGACUGGGGGCUGGACAGGAGGUGUGGGGUCAGGGGCUCCCGAGAUGUACCAGGGAGACAGCGCUGGGCAGGAAGUGUGCCUGGGGCCCUCGGGCUCUGAGCCCCCUGCUCAGAGUGGCUUUGGGCUCGGCUUCCCUGUGCGAGGAGCGGAGCUGCUCAUCCCUCCCAUUCCUGACUGUGAGGAGCCAAAAGCUAUGAAACACACAGGCCUGGGCCCACAGCAUCGCCUCCACUCCCCACGCAUGGGUGUCCUGGGCAGCGCUGCACAUUCAUCCCGGCGUGCAGAGUCUUCCGUAUGGUCUUGGUGAUAACCCACCCCUGCCGCUUCAGCAGGGCAGGCAGCCAGUGGCCACAGGAGGCUGAGAUCCAGGA